rnacentral:rRNA from 1 species
GAUGAACGCUGGUGGCGUGCCUAAUACAUGCAAGUAGAACGCUGAAGCUUGGUGCUUGCACCGAGCGGAUGAGUUGCGAACGGGUGAGUAACGCGUAGGUAACCUGCCUGGUAGCGGGGGAUAACUAUUGGAAACGAUAGCUAAUACCGCAUAACAGUAGAUAUUGCAUGAUAUCUGCUUGAAAGGUGCAAAUGCAUCACUACCAGAUGGACCUGCGUUGUAUUAGCUAGUUGGUGAGGUAACGGCUCACCAAGGCGACGAUACAUAGCCGACCUGAGAGGGUGAUCGGCCACACUGGGACUGAGACACGGCCCAGACUCCUACGGGAGGCAGCAGUAGGGAAUCUUCGGCAAUGGGGGGAACCCUGACCGAGCAACGCCGCGUGAGUGAAGAAGGUUUUCGGAUCGUAAAGCUCUGUUGUAAGAGAAGAACGAGUGUGAGAGUGGAAAGUUCACACUGUGACGGUAUCUUACCAGAAAGGGACGGCUAACUACGUG